rnacentral:rRNA from 1 species
GACGAACCGUGCGAACGUUAUUCGGAAUCACUGGGCUUAAAGCGCGUGUAGGCGGGCCGCCGCGUCGGCUGCUGAAAUCCCCCGGCUCAACCGGGGAACGGGCACCGAUACGGGCGGCCUCGAGGGGGUAGGGGGUCUGGAACUUCCGGUGGAGCGGUGAAAUGCGUUGAGAUCGGAAGGAACGCCCGUGGCGAAAGCGAGGCCCUGGACCCUUACUGACGCUGAGACGCGAAAGCCAGGGGAGCGAACGGGG